UAGAUACAAGUCUUCCGCUUCGGCUCUGGGACUGUUGCCAUCUCUAUCGGCGAAUCAAACUCUGGAAUGUACCUGAGGAAUGAUAUGCAUGCAAGGAUCAGUUUUUUUUUCUCUUUUUUUUUCUUUUUUUUUCUUUUUUUUUUUGAUUUUUUUUUUGUUGCGUUUCUUUUGAAAAAUAAAUAUGCUAUGAUGCACAUGAUGCAGACUGGACUGGCUGGUUGCGCAAUCUCUGAUCACAAAGUCGAAG
rnacentral:lncRNA from 1 species